rnacentral:misc_RNA from 1 species
AUCGACCUCGCGACCGUCUCGAUCAGGUCACCAUCGUGAUGCGCCGGAUCGGCAACGAGAUAGAGCUUCAGGGAGUCUGGCGUCACCUUGCCGUCCGUACAGCUCGUAGCGCCGCGAUGAUCGCGUCCGGCAAGGGCGCGAAGUGAUGGAGCGGGCCGUGUCCCUCUCCCAGCGUCUGGGCGUUCCGCAUCCCGUUCUCGACGAACAGCUUCGCCAGUCGGAUCGCCUCCAUCGUCUCGAUGCCCUGGGCGAGGAAAGCGGCGAUCGCGGCGGAAAAGGUGCAACCCGUGCCAUGUGUGCU